GGUAGAUUUUCAUUUAAUAAAAAUAGUUUUUGGAUCCACGCUGGACCUCAAACAAUGACAAAAUAGGGGAUUUGCACAAGCAAAAAGACAUAAAACAACUCAUGGAAAGAGAAAAAAGUAAUGUUUGGGUGUCUUCUUCCUAGCAUUAGCAUCAUUACUCUGUUCUUCAAACUGUCCAACAAUUUUGAAAUUCUGAAGUAUUCUUUCUUACUAAUUCAACAACGCGUUGGCCAUCGAAGUUAUUACCCUCGAAGAUGAACUUAUUUUGGGCUUCCAAAUUUUCAGUUCAAAACUCAGGGGCUUCAAUUCCAGAGUUCAGCCAUACACCUCGGGAUUGCAUGCAACUAAUCAAGCAAUGUUGGAUACAUUUAUCAACUUGGUUACAUCUUUGGCAGAUUGGAAAAAUCGUAGAUAUUCGUUCAUGAAUUCUUUGACCCACUAGUAAUCUUUUAUGCAUUACUUUUCACAAGAAAAUUCUGAGUUUGGGUUGUACUUUCAAGUCCCAAACUGAUCUCCAAAGCCUCUUUCGCCAGCACUGUGUAGGUAUCAAAUCAAGGGGAGGGUGAUAGAACUGGUGAGCUAAGUCAUAUCCUAAAGCCACUAAGUGAUUUCCACUUCUUCCAUGGUUCGAGAUGCAAGACAUGAGAUACCACAUUGAGCAUGCUGGAGACUCUUGGGACGCAAAGAUAUACGUUUUGGAUGUUUUGUAUUUAGAGUCUUGUAUAUGUAUAUAAGUAGUAUUCUCCAUUUUGUACAUAACUUGUAUUUUGUCCCUCCUAGAGAUUGACUUAGAGAGACGUGAUUUUAUUUUGUCUUUUGGAAAUAUUUUGGGUUAUAUGUAUAUAUAAUUAUACUUUGGUCGGCCUUUGCUUCGCAGGUCAUGUUAAGAGCUUGCUACUUGUAUCUUUUUGGAACUCUAUGUAUAUAUGUACAUUUCCUUUAUUAUACGUUGUUAUCUGUUUCCUUCUACGUUUAACCGUUUCGAGUGUGACACAAUUUUCGAGUUCUGUUUGCUUAACUUUUCUUUAAGGCUCCUAGUUAAAGCUUCUUUUCAUAUAUGCCUAUGUACGCAUUUUACUUUUAGAGGUUGUAAUACUUCACCACCUCUGAUUUACGAACUUAAGCGUAAAGCUUUGAGUGGUAGGGCGUUACACAGGACAAUUAAAUCCAGCUAAGGGAUUUGUCUUCUCAAUUGGAGAUAUGUUCAAUUUCCAUUUUCCCUCUUUGAUACAUGUAAUUAAUUGGUUCUUAAUUUCAUUUUCCUUCUUAUUUGUGCUC